rnacentral:rRNA from 1 species
AACGAACGCUGGCGGCAUGCCUAACACAUGCAAGUCGAACGAUUGCCUUCGGGUGAUAGUGGCGCACGGGUGCGUAACGCGUGGGAAUCUGCCCUUAGGUUCGGAAUAACAGCUGGAAACGGCUGCUAAUACCGGAUGAUAUCGCGAGAUCAAAGAUUUAUCGCCUGAGGAUGAGCCCGCGUUGGAUUAGGUAGUUGGUGGGGUAAAGGCCUACCAAGCCGACGAUCCAUAGCUGGUCUGAGAGGAUGAUCAGCCACACUGGGACUGAGACACGGCCCAGACUCCUACGGGAGGCAGCAGUGGGGAAUAUUGGACAAUGGGCGCAAGCCUGAUCCAGCAAUGCCGCGUGAGUGAUGAAGGCCCUAGGGUUGUAAAGCUCUUUUACCCGGGAAGAUAAUGACUGUACCGGGAGAAUAAGCCCCGGCUAACUCCGUGC